AUUGAACGCUGGCGGCGUGCUUAACACAUGCAAGUCGAUCGGUAACAGGUGUAGCAAUACAUGCUGACGAGAGGCGGACGGGUGAGGAAUAUUUGGGAAUCUGCCCAUCAGCGGGGGACAACCCGGGGAAACUCGGGCUAAUACCGCAUACGCUCUACGGAGGAAAGCCGGGGACCGCAAGGCCUGGCACUGAUGGAUGAGCCCAAAUCGGAUUAGCUAGUUGGCGGGGUAACGGCCCACCAAGGCGACGAUCCGUAGCUGGUCUGAGAGGACGAUCAGCCACACCGGAACUGAGACACGGUCCGGACUCCUACGGGAGGCAGCAGUGGGGAAUAUUGGACAAUGGGGGAAACCCUGAUCCAGCGACGCCGCGUGGGUGAAGAAGGCCUGCGGGUUGUAAAGCCCUUUCGGUAGGGAAGAAAUCUCUUGUCUUAACACGGCAGGAGUUUGACUUAACCUACAUAAGAAGCACCGGCUAACUCUGUGCCAGCCGCCGCAGUAAAAC
rnacentral:rRNA from 1 species